rnacentral:lncRNA from 1 species
GGUUAAAAGAGCACAUGAAAGACGUCGAGAACUAUGCAACUACGACAGCACUCGCCCAAAGAACCAUAGCGAAUGACAUAACGAUCCACUGGGAAGACGCUAAACUAUUACAAAAACACGAUGACCCCACGAAAGGAAAGAUAGCGGAAACAAUAACAAUUUAUAACGGCAGAAACUCUACCAUCAAGCCUAUUAAUAAGAUAGAUCCGGCAUCAAUUAAUAACACAUGGAAAUUGUGUAUGAGACUAUAUUAACAACAAUUUUCCUAAUAUUGCUGGAAGCAAAUUGUUUAUAUUUUGUUUAUUUGUAUACGAAACUAGAUAUUUAUUUAAGUUAAAAUUGUCUGUUAAACAUUUAUAAUAAUUUUGUAAUGUUACUAUAGUUACUAACGAUAUGUUAUUGUUCGAUAUUCUUUAAUAAUGUAUUUGUAAGUUAGAAGCUGAUGAUGAUUGUAUUCAAUCGAAAGCGCG